GCUCUGGUGGCACAAUGGUUAAGCGCUCAGCUGCUAACUGAAAGAUUGGUAGUUCAAAUCCACCCAGUGUC
rnacentral:tRNA from 1 species